ACGGGGCGCAGCAGGCGCGAAACCUUUACACUGCACGACAGUGCGAUAAGGGGAUUCCAAGUGCGAGGGCAUAUAGUCCUCGCUUUUGUCCACCGUAAGGAGGUGGACGAAUAAGGGCUGGGCAAGACCGGUGCCAGCCGCCGCGGUAAUACCGGCAGCCCGAGUGAUGGCCGAUCUUAUUGGGCCUAAAGCGUCCGUAGCUGGCCGCGCAAGUCCAUCGGAAAAUCCACCCGCUCAACGGGUGGGCGUCCGGUGGAAACUGCGUGGCUUGGGACCGGAAGGCCCGAAGGGUACGUCCGGGGUAGGAGUGAAAUCCCGUAAUCCUGGACGGACCGCCGAUGGCGAAAGCACUUCGGGAGAACGGAUCCGACGGUGAGGGACGAAAGCUAGGGUCUCGAACCGGAUUAGAUACCCGGGUAGUCCUAGCUGUAAACAAUGCCUGCUAGGUGUGGCUCCCGCUACGAGCGGGUGCUGUGCCGUAGGGAAGCCGNGAAGCAGGCCGCCUGGGAAGUACGUCCGCAAGGAUGAAACUUAAAGGAAUUGGCGGGG
rnacentral:rRNA from 1 species